rnacentral:rRNA from 1 species
GAUGAACGCUGGCGGCGUGCCUAAUACAUGCAAGUCGAGCGAACAGACGAGGAUCUUGCGCCUCUGACGUUAGCGGCAGACGGGUGAGUAACACGUGGAUCACCUACCUAUAAGUCUGGUAUAACUUCGGAAAUCCGGAGCUAAUACCGGAUAAUAUAUUGAACCGCAGGGGUCGAUAGAAAAAGACGGCGUUGCGGUAUGGUAUAGAUGGAUCCGCGCCGCAUUAGCUAGUUGGUAAGGUAACGGCCUACCACGGCGACUAUGCGUAGCCGACCGGUGUGGCGGAUCGGCCGCCCUGGAGCGUAGCCACCGUCCAGGCGCCUGCGGGAGGCCGCAGUAUGCAAUCUUCCGCAGUGGGCGAAAGCUUUACGGAGCGGCCCCGCGUGAGUUGUGAAGGUCUUCGGUUCGUAAUGCUCUGUUACUAGGGAAGAACAACUUUGGCAGUAACUAUGCCCGUCUUGACGGUACCUAAUCAGAAAGCACCGGCUAACUACGUG